AGCCAAUCUCUCUCUCUCUCUCUCUCUGUGUGUGUGUGUGUGUGUGUGUGUGUGUGUGUGUGUGUGUGUGUCUUUAACUCUUGCCUUGCCUUCAAAUCCUUACAAUAACUCCACUUCUCCAUUUUACCAUGGAGGAUAUGGGACUCAAGGAGAGCAAGUAACUUACCCAGAAUUACACAGCCAGUGAGUCACAGAGUCUGAACUUGAACUCAGUUCAGCUGAAUCCAGAACUCCCAUCUUCCUGAGAGUGCAGAAAAGGAAAGGGAUGUGAUCUUACCUCACUGCAACCUCCACCUCCUGGAUUCAAGCUAUUCUCCUGCCUCAGCCCCUGAGUAGCUGGGACUACAGAUGUAUGCCCAGCUAAUUUUUGUACUUUAAGUAGAGAUGGACUUUCACCAUGUUGGCAAGGCUAGUCUUGAACUCCUGACCUCAAAUGAUCCACCCACCACAGGCUCCCAAAGUGCUGGGAU
rnacentral:lncRNA from 1 species